UACAGAGACUGCAAGCGUUAUUCGGAUUCACUGGGCGUAAAGGGUGCGCAGGCGGCCAAGUGUGUUAGGCGUGAAAGCCCGGGGCUUAACCCCGGAAUUGCACCUAAAACUACAUGGCUAGAGCAUUGGAGAGGGUAGCCGGAAUUCACGGUGUAGCAGUGAAAUGCGUAGAUAUCGUGAGGAACACCAGAGGCGAAGGCGGCUACCUGGACAAUUGCUGACGCUCAGGCACGAAAGCGUGGGGAGCAAAAGGG
rnacentral:rRNA from 1 species